GGGUUGUGAGGUUAAGCGACUAAGCGUACACGGUGGAUGCCCUGGCAGUCAGAGGCGAUGAAGGGCGUGCUAAUCUGCGAUAAGCGCCGGUAAGGUGAUAUGAACCGUUAUAACCGGCGAUACCCGAAUGGGGAAACCCAGUGUGAUUCGUCACACUAUCAUUAACUGAAUCCAUAGGUUAAUGAGGCGAACCGGGGGAACUGAAACAUCUAAGUACCCCGAGGAAAAGAAAUCAACCGAGAUUCCCCCAGUAGCGGCGAGCGAACGGGGAGGAGCCCAGAGCCUGAAUCAGCAUGUGUGUUAGUGGAAGCGUCUGGAAAGGCGCGCGAUACAGGGUGACAGCCCCGUACACAAAAGCGCAUGUGCUGUGAGCUCGAUGAGUAGGGCGGGACACGUGGUAUCCUGUCUGAAUAUGGGGGGACCAUCCUCCAAGGCUAAAUACUCCUGACUGACCGAUAGUGAACCAGUACCGUGAGGGAAAGGCGAAAAGAACCCCGGCGAGGGGAGUGAAAAAGAACCUGAAACCGUGUACGUACAAGCAGUGGGAGCACCCUUCGGGGUGUGACUGCGUACCUUUUGUAUAAUGGGUCAGCGACUUAUAUUCUGUAGCAAGGUUAACCGUAUAGGGGAGCCGGAGGGAAACCGAGUCUUAACCGGGCGUUAAGUUGCAGGGUAUAGACCCGAAACCCGGUGAUCUAGCCAUGGGCAGGUUGAAGGUUGGGUAACACUAACUGGAGGACCGAACCGACUAAUGUUGAAAAAUUAGCGGAUGACCUGUGGCUGGGGGUGAAAGGCCAAUCAAACCGGGAGAUAGCUGGUUCUCCCCGAAAGCUAUUUAGGUAGCGCCUCGUGAAUUCAUCUCCGGGGGUAGAGCACUGUUUCGGCUAGGGGGCCAUCCCGGCUUACCAACCCGAUGCAAACUGCGAAUACCGGAGAAUGUUAUCACGGGAGACACACGGCGGGUGCUAACGUCCGUCGUGAAGAGGGAAACAACCCAGACCGCCAGCUAAGGUCCCAAAGUCAUGGUUAAGUGGGAAACGAUGUGGGAAGGCCCAGACAGCCAGGAUGUUGGCUUAGAAGCAGCCAUCAUUUAAAGAAAGCGUAAUAGCUCACUGGUCGAGUCGGCCUGCGCGGAAGAUGUAACGGGGCUAAACCAUGCACCGAAGCUGCGGCAGCGAACGUAUCACCCAAGACAACUUUACGGAGUUGACGAUUGACGGAGCGAAGCGACGUCAAAGCGUUCAUUAAAGUCGAGUUGGCUUAGGGAUACGUUCGUUGGGUAGGGGAGCGUUCUGUAAGCCUGUGAAGGUGUGUCGUGAGGCAUGCUGGAGGUAUCAGAAGUGCGAAUGCUGACAUAAGUAACGAUAAAGCGGGUGAAAAGCCCGCUCGCCGGAAGACCAAGGGUUCCUGUCCAACGUUAAUCGGGGCAGGGUGAGUCGACCCCUAAGGCGAGGCCGAAAGGCGUAGUCGAUGGGAAACGGGUUAAUAUUCCCGUACUUGGUGUUACUGCGAAGGGGGGACGGAGAAGGCUAUGUUGGCCGGGCGACGGUUGUCCCGGUUUAAGCGUGUAGGUGUGUGUUCCAGGUAAAUCCGGUUCACUUUAACACUGAGGCGUGACGACGAGGCACUACGGUGCUGAAGCAACAAAUGCCCUGCUUCCAGGAAAAGCCUCUAAGCAUCAGGUAACAUCAAAUCGUACCCCAAACCGACACAGGUGGUCAGGUAGAGAAUACCAAGGCGCUUGAGAGAACUCGGGUGAAGGAACUAGGCAAAAUGGUGCCGUAACUUCGGGAGAAGGCACGCUGACACGUAGGUGAAGUGAUUUACUCAUGGAGCUGAAGUCAGUCGAAGAUACCAGCUGGCUGCAACUGUUUAUUAAAAACACAGCACUGUGCAAACACGAAAGUGGACGUAUACGGUGUGACGCCUGCCCGGUGCCGGAAGGUUAAUUGAUGGGGUCAGCGCAAGCGAAGCUCCUGAUCGAAGCCCCGGUAAACGGCGGCCGUAACUAUAACGGUCCUAAGGUAGCGAAAUUCCUUGUCGGGUAAGUUCCGACCUGCACGAAUGGCGUAAUGAUGGCCAGGCUGUCUCCACCCGAGACUCAGUGAAAUUGAACUCGCUGUGAAGAUGCAGUGUACCCGCGGCAAGACGGAAAGACCCCGUGAACCUUUACUAUAGCUUGACACUGAACAUUGAGCCUUGAUGUGUAGGAUAGGUGGGAGGCUUUGAAGUGUGGACGCCAGUCUGCAUGGAGCCGACCUUGAAAUACCACCCUUUAAUGUUUGAUGUUCUAACGUGGACCCGUAAUCCGGGUUGCGGACAGUGUCUGGUGGGUAGUUUGACUGGGGCGGUCUCCUCCUAAAGAGUAACGGAGGAGCACGAAGGUUGGCUAAUCCUGGUCGGACAUCAGGAGGUUAGUGCAAUGGCAUAAGCCAGCUUGACUGCGAGCGUGACGGCGCGAGCAGGUGCGAAAGCAGGUCAUAGUGAUCCGGUGGUUCUGAAUGGAAGGGCCAUCGCUCAACGGAUAAAAGGUACUCCGGGGAUAACAGGCUGAUACCGCCCAAGAGUUCAUAUCGACGGCGGUGUUUGGCACCUCGAUGUCGGCUCAUCACAUCCUGGGGCUGAAGUAGGUCCCAAGGGUAUGGCUGUUCGCCAUUUAAAGUGGUACGCGAGCUGGGUUUAGAACGUCGUGAGACAGUUCGGUCCCUAUCUGCCGUGGGCGCUGGAGAACUGAGGGGGGCUGCUCCUAGUACGAGAGGACCGGAGUGGACGCAUCACUGGUGUUCGGGUUGUCAUGCCAAUGGCACUGCCCGGUAGCUAAAUGCGGAAGAGAUAAGUGCUGAAAGCAUCUAAGCACGAAACUUGCCCCGAGAUGAGUUCUCCCUGAGACUUAGAGUCUCCUGAAGGAACGUUGAAGACGACGACGUUGAUAGG
rnacentral:rRNA from 1 species